AAAUUAAGAAAGAAACCACGAGAAAAGAGCCCAAACCAUAUCGUCUACUCUUGGCAGCAUAUCAAAAAGACAAAAUCAAGGGUAGCACAGUCGCUUGUUGGACUUCAUGGAUUCGCAGGUUAGCGGUCUCAUCAAUAAUCACACUUAAAGGAGUUACUUUUGUGUUAGCUAUAAAGUUGGCUCCAGAAGACGUACACCCUUACUUUAAAGGCAAAACAAAGAAUCAACCCAAAACCUCACUCUUCAUGCAUAAAAACAGAGGCCACAGCAUAUCCCGUUCCCUUCCCCUCUUGCCAGAGACUAUAGAUAGAAAUAUUACAGAUUUGAAGGUCCUAGCAUAUCUUCAGAUAUACUGACCCUAUUCCUCAUCAUUUUGGCUUUCAUCUUUGACAAGCUUGAUCAUGUCAUCAAUUCGAAGAAUAGUUAUGGCAGCUUCAGUGGCAAACUGAAUUAUCUUCAC
rnacentral:misc_RNA from 1 species